AGGCGUCAAUGUGGUCGGGGGUCGCCGGACCUUUCAGCCUUGAGAUUCAAACCUUAAGAAACUGGACAGGAGGGUGCUGUUUUAAAGAAGUGUGCAGGAUGCUUGAAUCAGGUCAACAGGUCAAGGAAUAAACUACUAAUUCUUUACUAAACUACUAAUAUUAGUAAAGAAAGGUUGUGACUUAAGCAGGGUCACACAGAAAACACUUGGUGUGUUUAGAUCUGAAUAUGGCUCAUAACUAUUGCAUUAUACGCUCAGGAGAAGAGCACGUCUCUUCAAGGAUUUAAUCCUCGUUCUCUGCUUGUCAAAUAAUCCUGCCUUCUCCUACCUUUAAAGACUAAAACUGUCAUUAUCUUCAUUUCUCACGACAUGGGUCCUAAACAUGCCGCAAACCAACAUUAAUAGUUCCACUUCAACUUUCUGUGUCCAGGGAUUGGGUGAGAAAUUUUGAUUAUGACAGAGAAAGUGAGAGAAGCUGACCGGGACCAUUUGCAGCUCCUUCCAGAUGGGACAGCCUCUGCCAUCACUGCCGUCCCCCUCUAUUCUGUUGCUGUGGUAAACAGCCAACUGGAUAAAAUUGAGGGGAGGAAAGGGUAUAUUUCCUGUGACGUUCGAAGUGUUGAUGAGAAGACCCUCUACCCGGAGGCAACAGAGGAUCUGCAAUGGAAGUGGUAAUGAACCAUGAAAUGACCAAGUGGUGGAGGACCUUGUUACCCAGGAGAGCUAAUACUUUAUUGUGAGAGUCAAAAGUUGAUUCUUAAUUUGGCUGAAAGAUGAGAGUGUGUGAAUAGCCUGAAGGUAUAAAUAUGAAUCAAAGUGCUUUUCUUUGUAUAUACAUUUCUGCUUAGAGAAA
rnacentral:lncRNA from 1 species